rnacentral:rRNA from 1 species
ACGGGAGGCAGCAGUGGGGAAUAUUGGGCAAUGGGCGAAAGCCCGACCCAGCAACGCCGCGUGAAGGAAGAAGGUCUUCGGAUUGUAAACUUCUUUUAUAAGGGACGAAGAAAGCGACGGUACCUCAUGAAUAAGCCACGGCUAACUACGUGCCAGCAGCCGCGGUAAUACGUAGGUGGCAAGCGUUAUCCGGAUUUACUGGGUGUAAAGGGCGCGUAGGCGGGGAUGCAAGUCAGAUGUGAAAUCUAUGGGCUCAACUCAUAAACUGCAUUUGAAACUGUAUCUCUUGAGUGCUGGAGAGGUAGAUGGAAUUCCUUGUGUAGCGGUGAAAUGCGUAGAUAUAAGGAAGAACACCAGUGGCGAAGGCGAUCUACUGGACAGUAACUGACGCUGAGGCGCGAGAGCGUGGGGAGCAAACAGGAUUAGAUACCCUGGUA